UGAACGCUGGCGGUAUGCCUAACACAUGCAAGUCGUACGAGAGUUUUUAACUCUAGUGGCGGACGGGUGAGUAACACGUGAGAAUUUGCCUUUAGGAGGGGGAUAACGAUUGGAAACGAAUGCUAAUACCCCAUAUGCUUUCGAGUGAAAUGAAUUUUUUUAUUUGCCUAAAGAGAAGCUCGCGGCUGAUUAACUUGUUGGUAAGGUAAGAGCUUACCAAGGCGACGAUCAGUAUCUGGUUUGAGAGGACGAUCAGACACACUGGAACUGAGACACGGUCCAGACUCCUACGGGAGGCAGCAGUGGGGAAUUUUCCGCAAUGGGCGAAAGCCUGACGGAGCAAUACCGCGUGAGGGAAGAAUGCCUAUGGGUUGUAAACCUCUUUUUUUCAGGGAGGAAUAAAUGACGUGUACCUGAAGAAUAAGCAUCGGCUAACUCCGUGCCAGCAGCCGCGGUAAUCUGAUGGCGCGAGG
rnacentral:rRNA from 1 species